GGACUGCGAUUGUAAUGCGGGAAGCACGGGGAACUCGUAUUAAUACCGCAUACGACCUACGGGAGAAAGGGGGCAGUUUACUGCUCUCGCUAUUAGAUGAGCCUAAGUCGGAUUAGCUAGAUGGUGGGGUAAAGGCCUACCAUGGCGACGAUCUGUAGCUGGUCUGAGAGGAUGAUCAGCCACACCGGGACUGAGACACGGCCCGGACUCCUACGGGAGGCAGCAGUGGGGAAUAUUGGACAAUGGGGGAAACCCUGAUCCAGCCAUGCCGCGUGUGUUGAAGAAGGCCUUUUGGUUGUAAAGCACUUUUAAGCAGUGAAGAAGACUCCAUGGUUAAUACCCCAUGGGACGAUGACAUUUAGCUGCAGAAUAAGCACCCGGCUAACUCUGUGCCAGCAGCCGCGGUAAUACAGAGGGUGCAAGCGUUUAAUCGGAAUUUCCUGGGCGUAAAGGGAGCGUAGGUGGCUCUAUAAGUCAGAGGGAAAUCCCGGGCUUUACCUGGGGAACUG
rnacentral:rRNA from 1 species